ACGGGUGAGUAAUAUAUCGGAACGUGCCCAAUCGUGGGGGAUAACGUAGAGAAAUUUACGCUAAUACCGCAUACGAUCUAAGGAUGAAAGCGGGGGAUCGCAAGACCUCGCGCGAUUGGAGCGGCUGAUAUCAGAUUAGGUUGUUGGUGAGGUAAAAGCUCACCAAGCCGACGAUCUGUAGCUGGUUUGAGAGAACGACCAGCCACACUGGGACUGAGACACGGCCCAGACUCCUACGGGAGGCAGCAGUGGGGAAUUUUGGACAAUGGGCGAAAGCCUGAUCCAGCAAUGCCGCGUGCAGGAAGAAGGCCUUCGGGUUGUAAACUGCUUUUGUACGGAACGAAAAAGCUCUUUCUAAUAAAGAGGGCUCAUGACGGUACCGUAAGAAUAAGCACCGGCUAACUACGUGCCAGCAGCCGCGGUAAUACGUAGGGUGCGAGCGUUAAUCGGAAUUACUGGGCGUAAAGCGUGCGCAGGCGGUUAUAUAAGACAGUUGUGAAAUCCCCGGGCUCAACCUGGGAAUUGCAUCUGUGACUGUAUAGCUAGAGUACGGUAGGGGGGAUGGAAUUCCGCGUGUAGCAGUGAAAUGCGU
rnacentral:rRNA from 1 species